rnacentral:tRNA from 1 species
GGGGCUGUAGCUCAGUUGGAAGAGCGCUGCAUUCGCAUUGCAGAGGUCAGGGGUUCGAAUCCCCUCAGCUCCA